UACGUAGGGAGCAAGCGUUGUCCGGAAUCAUUGGGCGUAAAGCGCGCGUAGGUGGCCUCAUAAGUCCGCUGUGAAAGUCAAAGGCUCAACCUUUGAAAGCCGGUGGAUACUGUGAGGCUAGAGUACGGAAGAGGCGAGUGGAAUUCCCGGUGUAGCGGUGGAAUGCGCAGAUAUCAGGAGGAACACCAAUAGCGAAGGCAGGUCUCUGGGCCACUACUGACGCUGAGAAGCGAAAGCAUGGGGAGCGAACAGG
rnacentral:rRNA from 1 species